CAGGAACUAACUAACUAACUAACUAACUAACUAACUCUCUUUUUCUCUUGUAUUGAACCUGCAGCAACCCUACAGCUGCUUGACUCAACAACUGAGAGGCCUUCUAAUGAAAUCUUCCAGUAAAUGGGUGUAACAAGACCCUUUAAAAACACCAGCGCUGCAGUGUUAAUUACAACAAAAAGCAUUUUAAAUAUUUUCCUCUAUCCAAAGUGUCUUUCCUUGCUUUCAGAGAGAACCACAAUUGACUGUUGAUAUACUAUUGCCAUUACAUUAUCUUUUUCUUUUUCCAGCAUCUCCCAGAGCAGAAGCCCAAACAAGAUGAAUGGCUGUAUAAUGCCGCUAAAAAGCUUCUGUGGGUUUCAGCCAUCAGUGUUUCCACCUCCCAGCUGUUAGCAUCCUGAAAUCUGAUGCUUACAAUUGUUGCCUAACUUGCACUUAACUAUACUUAUGCUUAAAUGGAUCUCUCAUUCCGACACGGGGUGUUCAUCAUCUGCUUCAAAUUGCCACUCUGUACUUGUCUUCCUGCUUUCCUCUGAUGAAUAGUGUUAGGUUUGAAUGCCGACUUGGGGAGAAAUUUUGGGGCUAGCGCUGGGGUUGUGUUUUAUGUUGUAAGCAGCCUUGUCAGAGCUGUCUAAAGAAUGUGAAGCUUUCUUCAUGUGCCAGUCAAAAGGUCCUGUUCCUGGCAUACACCUUUUACGACGCCUGGAGAAGGCAAGAGCAGGAAGAGGCAGAUGUUAGCAUGGGAUACUGGCCUGCAGAUGUGAUUGGGGUCAGGGGUUGGCAUUGGCCCACACCUCAGCAGGGGGCUGAUAGCACUGCGCUAGACAUUGUCUCACUUCGUAGCCUAGUGUGAAAUUUAUUUAUUGCAUUAAUAUCCCACCUUCUUUUCCAAGGAAGCACAUGUGGUUCUCAUCAUUUAACCCCACAACAACCCUGUGAGGUAGGUUAGGCUGACAGGCAGUGAUUGGUCCAAGGUCACUCAGUGAGCUUCAUGAGCGAGUGAGGAUUUGAACCCUGGUCUCCCAGGUCCUAGAUAACCUGUCAGGGACUGUGCUGAGGAGGGCUGCACAGAUGAGGAAUGGUGGGAGCCUUCCCCUCCUCCUCCCCCUGAUCAGGAUCCUGAAUCUUCCCAGGAAAAGUGGGACAGUAUAGAUUUGGAACAGUGGUUUGCAGAGGGACAUAGUUCAGAAGACAAAAGUUGGGAAGAACUGGGUGGUGAACAGCUAGGAGAAGAAGAACCGGGAGAGAGAGAGUUAACAGAUUCCAGUUCGCUGGAUAGUGUCCAUCCAACCAGUCCAAGGUCACAGAGAUUAGAUAAGUAGCUGCACAGAAGGCACAGUGGUUGCGAGAUCAGGAUACAAGAUGAGGAAGUGGCAAGGGUGACUCAGGAGAAAGUAAGUGUAAACCUUAAUUGGAAGUACCUUUACUCCGAGAAUUGACUCUUUGUUCUUUCACUGUGAUCAUUAAAAUCUCUUUAAAUGGUAA